AGACGGUGUUCCUUGUUCAAAGAAAACUCUGGUUAAAGCCAUUAAGGUUUGGAUCGGGAAAUGCCAAGCUAGAAUCGGAGUUUGAUCCGCUGAGCGAGAAACAAGAUGGCGAGCCACCCACGGACCCAUUGAACUGUACCGAGCAGGAAAAGGGAAAACCGCCCCCUGCUGGAUGUUGAGUUCUUUCGCUAAAAGAAACUGACAUCCCUGCGCAAAUAUUGUCUGUACUGGCUCACAGAAAGAGUGGGUCAUCCUCAUUUUCAUCAAGAUUCUCCAUGCCAGGUUCAGCAACUGUAGCACUUGAAUGAAUACAAGAUCCCGCCUACAUGUGACAGCAACUUUGGUCCACUGAUCUACGGUACCAAGAAAACCCAAAGCUUCAUCUUGGAAAACCAUGGAGACUUCAAGACUUCUUUCACCAUCACAGACCCUACACUCUUAAGCAGGACAGGACUCACCUCAGGCUGGGUGUAUUCUCAUUGUCUCCCUGCACUGGAAGCCUACAGCCAGGGUGGUGACAGUGGACUGUGCAGCUGAACAGCUAGGCAGCUAUAACCAGGAUUUGCUCAUUGACACCACUGGGCGUGACCCCUCAGACCAUCCUGAUGGCAUACUCUACAGACUGCUGGCUCAAGUAUGCAAGCCAGGCAUAGUGUUAGACAUGGCCUCCAUUUUUGAGGAACACCAUCUGUGCCCCAGCAGUAGCCAGCUUUCAUCUGAGCAGUUUUGCAAUGCUGAAUGCAUCUUUGUACAGGAUGAAAACAAAUUUAUCUUCAACAAUAUUCAAACCAGCCAAGCUCGCUUCAAACCCGCCAACAGCAGCAAGUUCCCCUGUGUGCUCAUCUUAGCCAUCAAAAGUGUUGGGCCCAAGGUGAGGCAUUUAAAGUCUCAUGGAUAAAUGUAUACAGGACUAUCUCUCAUUGUGAUACAGUAUAAAGAAAUGUGAUCAAAUCAUCUAAAAUAUAAUGUAUUUUU